rnacentral:rRNA from 1 species
GUGUCAGCAGCCGCGGUAAUACGGAGGGUGCAAGCGUUAGUCGGAAUUACUGGGCGUAAAGGGUGCGUAGGCGGGGAUAUAAGUCAGAUGUGAAAAACCAAGGCUCAACCUUGGCAGUGCAUCUGAAACUGUAUUUCUAGAGGGAUAGCGGAGAAAACGGAAUUCCACGUGUAGCGGUGAAAUGCGUAGAUAUGUGGAAGAACACCUGUGGCGAAAGCGGUUUUCUAGCUUUAACCUGACGCUGAGGCACGAAAGCAAGGGGAGCAAACAGGAUUAGAUACCCUGGUAGUCCUUGCUGUAAACUAUGUAUACUUGGUGUUAUUGGGCUCAACCCUGAUAGUACCGUAGCUAACGCGAUAAGUAUACCGCCUGGGGAGUACGCUCGCAAGGGUGAA